AUUCCAGCUCCAAUAGCGUAUAUUAAAGUUGUUGCGGUUAAAAAGCUCGUAGUUGGAUCUCGGCGGGUAGGGGGCGGUUCGUUAUUUGACGCUACUGCCCCAUUUACCCGUGUUUUUGACGGAGGUUCCAGGGUGCUCUUAACCGAGUGUCCUGGGAUGCCGUCAGGUUUACUUUGAAAAAAUUAGAGUGCUCAAAGCAGGCUACAAAGCUUGAAUAUUUGUGCAUGGAAUAAUGGAAUAGGAAGUCGUUUCUAUUUUUUUGGUUUUCGGAAAUUGACUUAAUGAUUAAUAGGGACAGCCGGGGGCAUUAGUACUCAGACGACAGAGGUGAAAUUCUUGGACCGUUUGAAGACUAACUACUGCGAAAGCAUUUGCCAAGAGUGUUUUCAUUAAUCAAGAACGAAAGUUAGAGGUUCGAAGGCGAUCAGAUACCGCCCUAGUUCUAACCAUAAACGAUGCCAGCUAGCGAUCCGCUGAGUUGCAUUUGUAGGCUCUGCGGGAAGCUUUCGGGAAACCAAAGCGUUUGGGUUCCGGGGGAAGUAUGGUUGCAAAGCUGAAACUUAAAGGAAUUGACGGAAGGGCACCACCAGGAGUGGAGCCUGCGGCUUAAUUUGACUCAACACGGGAAAUCUCACCAGGCCCGGACACUGGAAGGAUUGACAGAUUGAGAGCUC
rnacentral:rRNA from 1 species